ACGGCUCAGUAACACGUGGAUAACCUACCCUAAGGUGGGAGAUAACUCCGGGAAACUGGGGAUAAUACCCCAUAGUCUAUGGAAGCUGGAAUGCUCUAUAGUUGAAAAGAUUUAUCGCCUUAGGAUGGGUCUGCGGCCGAUUAGGUAGUUGUUGGGGUAACGGCCCAACAAGCCUUUGAUCGGUACGGGUUGUGGGAGCAAGAGCCCGGAGAUGGAUUCUGAGACACGAAUCCAGGCCCUACGGGGCGCAGCAGGCGCGAAAACUUUACAAUGCGGGAAACCGUGAUAAGGGAACUCCGAGUGCCCGUAAACGCGGGCUGUCCAUCUGCUUAAAAAACAGGUGAAGAAAGGGCCGGGCAAGACCGGUGCCAGCCGCCGCGGUAAUACCGGCGGCUCGAGUGGUGGCCACUAUUACUGGGCUUAAAGCGUCCGUAGCUUGGUUGUUAAGUCUCUUGGGAAAUCUGUCGGCUUAACCGACAGGCGUUUAAGGGAUACUGGCAAUCUAGGGACCGGGAGAGGUGAGAGGUACUCCAGGGGUAGGAGUGAAAUCCUGUAAUCCUUGGGGGACCACCUGUGGCGUAGGCGUCUCACCAGAACGGCUCCGACAGUGAGGGACGAAAGCUGGGGGAGCAAACCGGAUUAGAUACCCGGGUAGUCCCAGCCGUAAACGAUGCGCGUUAGGUGUAUCGGUGACCACGAGUCACCGAGGUGCCGAAGGGAAACCGUGAAACGUGCCGCCUGGGAAGUACGGUCGCAAGGCUGAAACUUAAAGGAAUUGGCGGGGGAGCAC
rnacentral:rRNA from 1 species